CAUCGUUAUCAUCCCCCCGCUUCUGUUGCUGCUUGUGACCUAAGCUCUUCGCCACGAGAUCAGCAAUAUCUUUAGCAGUUUCCAAAUAAUUUGUGGCAUAUUCCAAACCUGCCUUUAUCUUUCGAAGAACGCCUGCAAAUUUAUCCUUCGUUAUUAAUGAAUUAUCUUGGAAUUAUUUUUCUAACUAACCAUCCUUUUCUUCUGACGAACCAGGGACAGAAAUUAUCAUAAAAGAGACACAGAUAAAUAUGCACACAAAUUUCGACAUGGUGACGCAAUGGAAAUGUUUCGAGAACUGAGGAACGCACUCCGGAGGUAACGGAUGUUAAUUACUCAUUUCCACCCCGUUGAUUCCCGACGUUCCUCUUCCUAGUUCGUGAUGACUGAAGAAUGAUUCAGACUCUCCUCGCUUUGUCAACCAAGCAGGAGAAAUUAGAACUCGAGAUUGAGGGGACAAUUACGUCCUGCUGGUUACAGAACAGGUACGAUAACCAGUCUUCUUUUGGAUAAGAAACAACUCGGUUCUGUCAUAGUAAUCGAAGAUGACGAAAAGAAAUUUUUCACCUAUCAUCGGAAUUUUCACUGCACUGCUGUUAUUUUAUUUAAAAACAAUAUCCGCGAAUCGUACAUCUUUCUACCUAGAAGAGGUUCGCAGUCUGAGCGAACUGCCAAUGACGGAACUGAUUCAUAUAAAAUCUUCUCUCAUCGAUGAAGAAGAUUUUACCACUGAUGAUGAACACGAAGAAGAAGCAUCGAGUAGAACAUUAUCUGUGUCACUGCCUGUUGCACAACCCUUGAAAAGAAUGAAUAAAAAAUCCAUAAGGCGAUACGAAGAUCAUUACGACGAAAAGGGGAAGGAUUCGAAGAUCUCGAAGAUAUUUCAACUUUCGGUCACUGCUCUUUCUUUUUUGGCAUUCGGUGGUUAUUUGCUUACAUUAAUAAUAACGACAAUUCGACAGAAUUCAGGGACCAAUGGCAAUGGAAACGUCAUUGUCCUCUCGAACCUACAAGGUUUACAAAAUUACAAUCGUCCGAGGAGAAAUGUUAGAAUUUUGGAUCCAGCUGAGAACGAGUUCGAAAUGGAAAAAUUGUAUCGAGGGAUGAUCAUGCUGUCUCGAACGUAUGCAGCGUAUAAUUAAUAUUUAAGAAGCUCUGUUUAAUAUAUUUUUCAUCGACUGAUUUGUGCGUAUCGAACGAAGAAGCUGUAGGUGUUGAGAGAUGUCGAGAAAAAAAGGGGUUCUGGUUUCGCGAUCCGGGCACUCAAUUAGGGAUUCGCUUAUCAUGAUUCGGCGGACUCUUGAAAAUCCUAAAACCUAAUAAAAUCGAAUAGAGGAUCACGGUGUGUACAUAUCCCGAAGAAUAUUCUUAGCAUGUGGGUAGAGGCUGCUUCAAACAUGGCUGUUCAAAUAAACACCUAAGUGACUGUAUACUCUGAAAGUCUGCAUGCAAAGAUAACCAUAUGGCUUCCAGAGAUAUCAUCAGCCAUACGUCUCUAUGCUAUUAUUCCACGGAUAUCUAUAGCAUCAGUAACAUUUUUCUAUUUUUCUUCUUAAUUUAUUCUGUUCGUUUUCCUCUUCAAAAAAAAAAAGUUAAAUAUCCCAUUCUAAAAAUUCCAAAAUUUCCGUGUCAUUAGCAUAGUAUUUUUAAACGAAUCGAUAGCAUUUUUCUAUUUUUCUUCUUUUUAAUUCAUCUGUUCGUUUUCCUCUAAAAGAAAAAAUUAAAGUAUCCUUUUAAAAAAUGUCAUUAGCAUAUCAUUAUUUGAGUGUCUUUUAAAUAUCUGAAUAUUUUAUUUUAAGGAAUAUAAAUAUAGCUUCGAUGAGGCACACUUUCCAAGAAUACCAAUAAAUUCAAUAAAUUCUACCCAAAUAGAAUUACGUCAGUUUCGUUCGGACUCGAUGAUCUUCGCCUAAACCGAUAUCAUCGACCAAUCGUUUCGUUACCCAUCGUUUUAUGACAUUUUUUAUAAUGUUUAUCUGGUGGAACGAGAAGAAGGAAUGUUCUAAGCGACGCAGCGCGGACCAUUCGAAAGGCUGACAUUUAGAGUCAUCAUCAUCCUUCAGGAACCAAUCUUCAGUGAGCCACGCCUACAGCAUCCGUGUGGGCCAAUCCCAUCGACGAAAUUGCACCGAGCUCCCACGAUAUUUCUCGUUUUUUUUCUCUUUUUUUUCCAACCAAAAUCCGUUCUGAAGAUGGCAGAAACUUGUAAGCUUGCUCGUUCCUAUGCACUUCCGUCAAAGCUCAUUAUUCAGCCCUUAACUCUAGCGUCGUUGAGACUCUCGCGAUCGUUAUGAAUUAAUUAAAAUCGAUUUGUCAAUUCUCGUUCCUUUUGUUUUUCAAUGAUGAAAUAAACUAGUUGAGUGAAUCAUCGCGGCCAGCUAGAAAAUGUCAAAGUUUUGAGGAAUAAGUGAUCGCAGUCGGUGAGGAAGAUGAACGAAGUGAACACGCGUAUGGUGGAUGACACGAAUUGUUCCAAACAGUUAAAAUUCGGUGUGGAACGUAUAUUGUCGGAUGAAUUCAGCACGAAGAGAACAGUCAAUUUUCAUUUUCUUAAUGGUAUCCGGUUGAAAUUAAGCGACGAUGACAGACGUUACGCGUUUCUUCCGUUUAUGCGAACGAGUUUCAAGCAACGUUGUGUCUUCGACAAGAUAUACUCAGGCCACUUCCGGUCCAGUUCUCGACGCUGCGGUGCCCUUGUCCCGGUGCUUGCGUCAGGUGCGAAGCCC